GUAGCUUAGAAUACGGGGAAUAUUCAGGGAAUUAUAGCAAGUAGCCAAGGAUAUGAGUUAAAAUGUCAAACAAAAAAAAAAAAUUACGGUUUCUCUUGUUUUCGUGGAAAACUAGCUGCAAGUGAUGCCACAAUGUGAAUAUAAUCAUAUGCUUAUAUGGUUGCUUGUGAAAGGAAAAUUGUAGUUUUCCAGGAAAAUAAAAAAGAAAUAUAUGCAAUAAGAAGAUGUAGAUGGCAACAAAGCCAGUUGACUUUUA
rnacentral:misc_RNA from 1 species